rnacentral:rRNA from 1 species
AGUGAACGCUGGCGGUAUGCCUAACACAUGCAAGUCGAACGGCAGCACAGUAAGAGCUUGCUCUUACGGGUGGCGAGUGGCGGACGGGUGAGGAAUACAUCGGAAUCUACUUUUUCGUGGGGGAUAACGUAGGAAAACUUACGCUAAUACCGCAUACUACCUACGGGUGAAAGCAGGGGAUCUUCGGACCUUGCGCGAUUGAAUGAGCCGAUGUCGGAUUAGCUAGUUGGCGGGGUAAAGGCCCACCAAGGCGACGAUCCGUAGCUGGUCUGAGAGGAUGAUCAGCCACACUGGAACUGAGACACGGUCCAGACUCCUACGGGAGGCAGCAGUGGGGAAUAUUGGACAAUGGGCGCAAGCCUGAUCCAGCCAUACCGCGUGGGUGAAGAAGGCCUUCGGGUUGUAAAGCCCUUUUGUUGGGAAAGAAAAGAAGCAGGUUAAUAUCCCGCUGUUCUGACGGUACCCAAAGAAUAAGCACCGGCUAACUUCGUG